rnacentral:ncRNA from 19 species
UUAGAUCAUGUCAUCUCAGGUGCCGCUUCGUGACGACGGGGCGGAGAAUUGGGAAGCCGGUCAAAAUCCGGCGCUGCCCCCGCAACGGUGAUGGAGUUCAAGUCGCAACGGGAGACCACUGGGCGAAAGCCUGGGAAGGUGUCGCGACCGUCCGCAAGGACACUCCAGAGCCCGGAAACCAGCCCGAGAUUUUUGAACUCGA